rnacentral:rRNA from 1 species
UUUUAAGGCACUUGGACAAAAGCAGGCUCCGAAUUCGCCCUUUACGGCUACCUUGGUUACGAACUUCACCCUAGGGGAGGGAAUCNCACCGAGGGNAACCGCCCCCCAGGAGGCAUUAGGGGCCNCCCCCCGCCGAAAGCAGACCCCAAGGGCGAGGACAAGACAAAGCGCCCAACACCCCGGCCCAGGGAACACCGAGAAACAAAGCCCAGCAACCAAAGACAAAACCCGAGAAAGGGGAGCCAACAAGCACACCCGCCCCCGAGCGAGGAGGCGCCAGAAAGACACAGCCCCCGCACAAGGCACGGAAACCAACGAAAACGACGAGAGAACAACCAGCGACGCCCAACCACCAACAGCGCCCGAGAAAAAGAGACCAACGCCGAGGAAAAAGCAAGAAGAACCAGGCAAAGCGGGCCACAAAGCAGCAACAACAAGCAGAGAAACCACACGGGCCGAAGAAGCGAGAAGCAGACCGAGCAACAAACCCACGCGCACAAGAAACACGGAGAGCAACCCCCACCCAAACAAGAACCCCGAAGAAACGAGCAGCCGAAAGACCCGACCACCGCACCCAGAAGACAGCCGCCGCACCCAGAACAAAGCCGAACGAAAGGAGCGCGCCACGACCGCAACGCCAACAAAACCCCCCCGAACGCGCACAACCAAGCACGGCGAACCCCGAGAACGGACCAACAAAGAAGGGCGAAACAGA